GUGGGGAAUAUUGGACAAUGGGGGAAACCCUGAUCCAGCCACGCCGCGUGGGUGAUGAAGGCCUUCGGGUUGUAAAGCCCUGUCGGGAGGGACGAAGAAAUGACGGUACCUCCCAAGAAAGCACCGGCUAACUCCGUGCCAGCAGCCGCGGUAAUACGGAGGGUGCAAGCGUUGCUCGGAAUUACUGGGCGUAAAGCGUACGCAGGCGGCUUGGUAAGUCGGAUGUGAAAUCCCCAAGCUCAACUUGGGAACUGCAUCCGAAACUGCCUCGCUUGAGUUCGGGAGAGGAAAGUGGAAUUCCUGGUGUAGAGGUGAAAUUCGUUGAUAUCAGGAGGAACACCGGCGGCGAAAGCGGCUUUCUGGCCCGAUACUGACGCUCAUGUACGAAAGCGUGGGGAGCAAACAGGAUUAGAAACCCCUGUAGUCC
rnacentral:rRNA from 1 species